AGUGAACGCUGGCGGUAGGCCUAACACAUGCAAGUCGAACGGCAGCACAGUAAGAGCUUGCUCUUACGGGUGGCGAGUGGCGGACUGGUGAGGAAUACAUCGGAAUCUACUUUUUCGUGGGGGAUAACGUAGGGAAACUUACGCUAAUACCGCAUACGACCUACGGGUGAAAGCAGGGGAUCUUCGGACCUUGCGCGAUUGAAUGAGCCGAUGUCGGAUUAGCUAGCUGGCGGGGUAAAGGCCCACCAAGGCGACGAUCCGUAGCUGGUCUGAGAGGAUGAUCAGCCACACUGGAACUGAGACACGGUCCAGACUCCUACGGGAGGCAGCAGUGGGGAAUAUUGGACAAUGGGCGAAAGCCUGAUCCAGCCAUACCGCGUGGGUGAAGAAGGCCUUCGGGUUGUAAAGCCCUUUUGUUGGGAAAGAAAAGCAGCAGGUUAAUACCCCGCUGUUCUGACGGUACCCAAAGAAUAAGCAACGGCUAACUUCGUG
rnacentral:rRNA from 1 species